UGUGCAUAUGAUGAAAAUUAUGUUGGUAGGGACAUCUGAUAAAAUCUGAUGAAUGCCAACAUUUCUGAUACUGCGCG